rnacentral:rRNA from 1 species
GACGAACGCUGGCGGCGUGCUUAACACAUGCAAGUCGAACGGAAAGGCCCUGCUUUUGUGGGGUGCUCGAGUGGCGAACGGGUGAGUAACACGUGAGUAACCUGCCCUUGACUUUGGGAUAACUUCAGGAAACUGGGGCUAAUACCGGAUAGGAGCUCCUGCUGCAUGGUGGGGGUUGGAAAGUUUCGGCGGUUGGGGAUGGACUCGCGGCUUAUCAGCUUGUUGGUGGGGUAGUGGCUUACCAAGGCUUUGACGGGUAGCCGGCCUGAGAGGGUGACCGGCCACAGUGGGACUGAGGUGCGGCCCGGACUCCUACGGGAGGCAGGAGUGGAGAAUAUUGCAAAAUGGGCGGAAGCCUGAUGCAGCAACGCCGCGUGCGGGAUGACGGCCUUCGGGUUGUAAACCGCUUUCGCCUGUGACGAAGCGUGAGUGACGGUAAUGGGUAAAGAAGCACCGGCUAACUACGU